rnacentral:tRNA from 1 species
GGGCGCUUAGCUCAGCGGGAGAGCACCACCUUCACACGGUGGGGGUCGCUGGUUCGAACCCAGUAGCGCCCACCA